rnacentral:rRNA from 1 species
UACGUAGGGGGCGAGCGUUGUCCGGAAUCAUUGGGCGUAAAGCGCGUGUAGGCGGCCCCGUAAGUCCGCUGUGAAAGUCAAAGGCUCAACCUUUGAAAGCCGGUGGAUACUGUGGGGCUAGAGUCCGGAAGAGGCGAGUGGAAUUCCUGGUGUAGCGGUGGAAUGCGCAGAUAUCAGGAGGAACACCAAUAGCGAAGGCAGCUCGCUGGGACGGUACUGACGCUAAGGCGCGAAAGCGUGGGGAGCAAACAGG